AACCUUGUGCAGAGGCAUUAUUCUAACCGAUGAAGUAUUAACUGAGGUGGAAUUAUUGCGAAUUGAAAACUUAACCAAUACCUCGUCACGUGACUCUUGAAAUAUAGCGUCAAGUGACAAUUUUUGGGAGACUCUAACGAGU
rnacentral:snRNA from 1 species